CGUGAUUCUAGUCAUGUGACCUUGCUGACGCAACAAUACUAAUAAUCAAUAUGUGUAUCGCUAAAUGUCACUAGAUCAGUUUUGUAAAAACUAUUCAUCAGCAAUCAAAGGAUAGGCUGUACUGGCAAGGUGACAAAAGUCCUGGGUGUAGGUUGGCCCUGUGGAUGAGUUCUGGAUUUCAGAGCUAAUAAGAUAGGUUUGAAUCCAUGUGAUACCACAAAAUAUUCCCUGUAUUAGAAGUUGUGUGUGCACAAUAAGAGUGAGUCAAUCCCUUGGUAUGAACAGCGGGUAGUAGGGAUCAUGCUGCUUUACCUCUGGUCAGAAAUUUAAAAUCAGGAAUGAUGGCAGAACCUUAAUAACUUUGCCAUAAAUGUGAAUACAAAAGUCCUCAUUUCUACUGAGAUGUAUACUCUCCAAGUCUCUUGCAUUUUCAAGAGUUUAGCAUUUACUUCCUUAAACUCACCUUGUCAUAACACAGAAAAAGUUAGAACUUCUGACCUUCCUCACUAACUCCAUCUACAUUCAAUUUCAAAAUAAAUUUCAUGUACAAACCAGUGACCUUCCUAUGAAA